CAAAAAUAUUUGGGAUUUAUCUCAUACCAUUCAAAAUUUUAGAUUUCCCACAUCCCUAACCCUAACCCCGAACCCCCAAAUCUGACCAGUUUGCUCACAUCCUCUCUUUACCAGUCUCCAUUGCUUCCCAAAUCACGUCUCCAUUGCUUCCCAAAUCAUGGAACGAUCACCGUGAACGGUUGAGCACCACCACCACACUUCUUCCUAUUCAUAUUGGGAAGGCCCUUUGAUCCUCGUUCAACAGCCUUUCAUCUCGUUCAACCAUUCAGUUAGCCACUUUGAUCGAUUGCUUCACUGAGAAAUUUACUACAAAGGAGCGGAGCAGUUAUCGAGUUUUGGGGGCUUUAUUUUCUAACUUCCCCAUUUCGUUCUGUUUGAUUCGAGUUACUAAGUUUUGGGGGCGAGAGUCGAUUCUAGAAUUAGAGCAGAGUAGUCGUGAGUCUACUUUUCUAGGAAUCAAGAAUUCAAGCAAUUAAACUGGUGACCAGAGUCGGUUCUUAGAAGAGCCGUGGCAAGGCCAUGGCCCGGGCAAGUUUUUUCGGGCGUAGUGCUAAUUUUCCGCAUUUCGAUCGAAAUUUUUUAUAUAUACUAUGUUUGGCCCGGGCUUGUCCGGGCUUUUUUUAGUGCCCGUGUCUUUCGGCCCUGGCAUGUUCAACAAGCAAGAUCCGUCACUGUAGGUGAGUAUGGCAUUUUGAUGAUAUGGGUCACAGAUUCAUUUUGCUAAAUCUGCCACUUGUUUAGUUAACCACUCAUUCAAACUUUUUUCAAGGUGUCUAAUCAGUGUCUAAUGAAUGAAAUUUGAAAAUUAAAAUUCAUUGAUUAAGAAAAAACCACUUAGCAUUACAUGAUCUUUUGAUCCAUUUGAACUAAACUUUUUUUUUGAACCAUUUACCUUUAAGAGAUAAAAUAUAAACUCCGGUCGACCUGAUUAAUGAUAUAACUAGCUCAUUGUUUGCUGUUGCUAUUUUUUAAAUGCUAUUUGCAGAUGAUGUUGUGUUUAAUAGUGACAGGAUGAUGUUGGUCAGUUAGAAGUAGGGGUGUAACGAGCCGAGCUUAAACAACCUCGAGUCCGAGCCUAAAAACAAGCCUUUUUAGUAAACAAGCUUGAGCCCGAGCUUCGCUUAUCAAGCUCGAUCCAGCUCGCAAGCCUAAACAAGCAUUCUAAAAGAUGAUUUCUCAUAAUUGUUGAGCUUUUGGAAUAAUAAAAACGUGGUAGUAAUUUUCUUGACAAUGUCUUUCUUACUGUUACUUGUUAUUUAGAUUUGUCUCAUGAUGUACAUAGUUAGCCGAGUUGUAUAUAUUAUUGUGUGUGCAGAAGCAUUGUUUAAAUGGCAAGGAAUUGUAUGUGUCUUGUAUUCAUUUUUGACAACAUAGGAUUAAAUUUAAGUAGUUGGCUUGUGUUUUGUUACUGUACUGUUUCUUUUUUCUUCUGUGUAAUUAUUCCAGGAGCUUAGGGGCUUUUUAGGCUUUAAUAAUGUGUUAUUUAACCAGCCAAAAAAUAAAUGUCUGUGUAAUUUAGGCCGUUGUUUAUUCUUUUGAUAUUUCACUGUUUGUUUUCCUUGCAUAAUAUGACUUCUGAUGCACCUGAAGCCACAUCAAAAUUAAGAAAAGAUCUGGGGUAGAAGUAUAACUUUAAUAAAGACCCACAUGACCCAAAUUGUGUCACUUGCGUGUUUUGCAACUUCUCUACCAAGGGAGGAAUUUAUCGAGCAAACAACAUCAAAUUGGAGAAAAAUGAUGACCUGCACAAGAAAUUACCGACUUUAAUGAAGGUGUUUGAACAUACAUGUAAAGGGAUAUAAGGGCGUGUAUAUGUUGCUACAUAUGAUGACACGACAAGGAAUAUUGAACAAAAGAAGACCUACAAAAGUGCUUCGGAGGAUCCUUUUAUGAUUGUGAUGAACAAAGUAGAUGGUGCUUACACGUCAUACAUGAUUAUAGAGUAGUUGAUGGAACCAAUCAAAGCAAACGUUGAAGUUUAGAAAUUCCAAGGGGAUCAUGAUAGAAAUCUAUCCGAGCUCAAAGUUACGUGAAAAGAUAUUGACAGACAAUAACUAAACAUGGAAAGCUAUUAUGCGGAAGGUUAUGAAACGACUGUUAGUUGAAGAUAGAGAUGAGUCAAUUUUUUCAUUUAUAUUUUUUAUUGUAAUCAACACUUUGUGUAGAGUAUAUUGUUACUUGAGUUUGAACAAGUAUGUUAAUGUACACGUUUUGACUAUUUAUAAUAUUUUUGCUAUUAUUUUUUGGCGCA